AGUGAACGCUGGCGGUAGGCCUAACACAUGCAAGUCGAACGGCAGCACAGUAAGAGCUUGCUCUUACGGGUGGCGAGUGGCGGACGGGUGAGGAAUACAUCGGAAUCUACUUUUUCGUGGGGGCUAACGUAGGGAAACUUACGCUAAUACCGCAUACGACCUACGGGUGAAAGCAUGGGAUCUUCGGACCUUGCGCGACUGAAUGAGCCGAUGUCGGAUUAGCUAGUUGGCGGGGUAAAGGCCCACCAAGGCGACGAUCCGUAGCUGGUCUGAGAGGAUGAUCAGCCACACUGGAACUGAGACACGGUCCAGACUCCUACGGGAGGCAGCAGUGGGGAAUAUUGGACAAUGGGCGCAAGCCUGAUCCAGCCAUACCGCGUGGGUGAAGAAGGCCUUCGGGUUGUAAAGCCCUUUUGUUGGGAAAGAAAAGCAGCAGGUUAAUACCCCGCUGUUCUGACGGUACCCAAAGAAUAAGCACCGGCUAACUUCGUG
rnacentral:rRNA from 1 species